UACGUAGGGUGCGAGCGUUAUCCGGAAUUAUUGGGCGUAAAGAGCUCGUAGGCGGUUUGUCGCGUCUGUCGUGAAAGUCCGGGGCUUAACCCCGGAUCUGCGGUGGGUACGGGCAGACUAGAGUGCAGUAGGGGAGACUGGAAUUCCUGGUGUAGCGGUGGAAUGCGCAGAUAUCAGGAGGAACACCGAUGGCGAAGGCAGGUCUCUGGGCUGUAACUGACGCUGAGGAGCGAAAGCAUGGGGAGCGAACAGGAUUAGAUACCCUGGUAGUCAAGGGCG
rnacentral:rRNA from 1 species